GACGAACGCUGGCGGCGUGCUUAACACAUGCAAGUCGAACGGAAAGGCCCUGCUUGCAGGGUACUCGAGUGGCGAACGGGUGAGUAACACGUGGGUGAUCUGCCCUGCACUUCGGGAUAAGCCUGGGAAACUGGGUCUAAUACCGGAUAGGAGCCAUUUUUAGUGUGAUGGUUGGAAAGUUUUUUCGGUGUAGGAUGAGCUCGCGGCCUAUCAGCUUGUUGGUGGGGUAAUGGCCUACCGAGGCGGCGACGGGUAGCCGGACUGUGAGGGUGGACGGCCACCUUGGGACUGAGAGGCGGCCCAGACUCCUACGGGAGGCAGCAGUGGGGAAUAUUGCACAAUCGGCGCCAGCCUGAUGCAGCGACGCCGCGUGGGGGAUGACGGCCUUCGGGUUGUAAACUCCUUUCGCUAGGGACGAAGCUUUUUGUGACGGUACCUAGAUAAGAAGCACCGGCUAACUACGUG
rnacentral:rRNA from 1 species